GGAAGUAAAAGUCGUAACACGGUUUCCGUAGGUGAACCUGCGGAAGGAUCAUUAUUGUAUAACCGAGGUGCGAGGGCUGUCGCUGACCCGAAAGGUCGUGCACGCCCGAGUGCCCUCACACACAUCCAUCUCACCCCUAUGUGCACCACCGCGUGGGUCCCCCUUUGGCUUGUUCGGAGGGGGGCUUACGUUUUCACACAAACUUUGUAUGCAGUGUAGAAUGUAUUUUUUGUUUUUGCGAUCACGCAAUCAAUACAACUUUCAACAACGGAUCUCUUGGCUCUC
rnacentral:misc_RNA from 1 species